UACGUAGGCAGCAAGCGUUGUUCGGAGUUACUGGGCGUAAAGGGUGUGUAGGCGGUUCUUUAAGUUUGGUGUGAAAUCUCCCGGCUCAACCGGGAGGGUGCGCCGAAUACUGAGGGACUCGAGUGCGGGAGAGGAAAGUGGAAUUCCUGGUGUAGCGGUGAAAUGCGUAGAUAUCAGGAGGAACACCGGUGGUGUAGACGGCUUUCUGGACCGUAACUGACGCUGAGACACGAAAGCGUGGGUAGCAAACAGG
rnacentral:rRNA from 1 species